rnacentral:rRNA from 1 species
GGAAGUUUUCGAGUCCUGGACGUCAGGAGUGAAACGGCUGGCGGCGUAGCGUUAAACACAUGCAAGUCGAGCGAAGCGUAUUAGUCGGAAGUUUUCGGAUGGAAGCGGAUAUGACUUAGCGGCGGACGGGUGAGUAACGCGUGGAUAACCUGCCUCAGUACAGGGGGAGUAACAGCUAGAAAUGACUGCUAAUACCGCAUAAGCGCACAGGACCGCAUGGUCCGGUGUGAAAAACUCCGGUGGUAUGGGAUGGAUCCGCGUCUGAUUAGCUGGUUGGUGAGGUAACGGCCCACCAAGGCGACGAUCAGUAGCCGACCUGAGAGGGUGGCCGGCCACAUUGGGACUGAGACACGGCCCAAACUCCUACGGGAGGCAGCAGUGGGGAAUAUUGCACAAUGGGGGAAACCCUGAUGCAGCAACGCCGCGUGAGUGAAGAAGUAUUUCGGUAUGUAAAGCUCUAUCAGCAGGGAAGAAGAAAGACGGUACCUGACUAAGAACGCCCCGGCUAACUACGUG